CUACAAGCAUUUCAAGCAGCUGCAGUAGCUGGGAGUUCUAGUAGUACUAGUCAUGUGGGGAAGAAAUCGUUAAAUGGUGCUGUGGUUGGUGCUGCAAGAGGUUUGGAUGAAAGAGCGAGGAAAAGAGCAGCAGCAAAGGCCCUUUUGGUACGCAGGCAUGGUGGUCCUGCACAGGCUUCACCGCCGACCUCUAACAUCAUAAACUCAGGGGAGCCACUACCAACGGAUGUUGCUGUAAAUGAGGCCUCCGAUGGAGGGAAGAAAGAAUCCGACAACCAAACCUCAAAUGGAGUGCUGGGUUCAGAAGGUCAUGAACCCAAGCCAGGUCAGCAAGAUCAGGCUCCGGUUGGAUUAGGCCCGGGCUUGGCUGCCUUGGAUGCCAAGAAGCUGAAACCAAAAUCCAAAGCGAAAGCAACAACUGCCGAGUCUUCUACCUGAGCCUGACUACAUUUUGAUUCUUUUUGUUAGGUGUAGUUUUGGUCAGUCUGAAUUACGUUUCACACCUGCAAUUGAGUUAUACAUUCUGCUUUGAUCCAUAAUUAGUUUAUGGAUACAUUCUGCUUUUGAAGCAUGAUUAGUUUACAGAUGCACUAAACUCUUCCAAAGUUCUAUUAAUAAGUGUGCUAUGACAAUUUUGCAUUUAGAGAGUAUUUCUCUGCAAUUGUUAUUUUAUGAAAUUCUUCAUAAUUUUGAAGCCCUCAUUAUUAUGUUUCUGUGCUACCCUUCAUAUCUAUACAUAUAUAAAAGCUGGUCCAUCUAGCCAAAAAAAUUUCCCGCCCUUUUACUCAAUUUAUUUUUGGAAAGUUGAUCUAUAUUUGGAAAGUUGCCUAAUUUAUAGGAAGAUAUAUAUAUAUAUAUAUAUAUAUAUAUAUAUAUUUCUUAAUUAAGUAAUUAAAAUUUAAUUGAACGACAUUUAUUCCCAUCAUCUAUAUAUGAAAUUUAUAUGUAAAAAAUUUGUAGAUCACUAAUUUCAAUUAAAUCUUUUGUGAGAAAUAUUCAUCCAAUAAAUAAAAUUCAAAAUAUAAAUACAUAUAAAUUGCAUGGGAUCUUGUAGUCAUUUGCAAAAGUGAAUAUUCUUUUUGAUUUACACGCAAUUUUAGACUAUAGAUUGUUUUUGAAUUCAAGAGAAUAAAAAAUUAUUUACGAACUCGUAGCAAUAUCUCAUAUAAAUUAUUUUUGAUUUACACGCUAUCUCAUAGAUUGAUUUCUAAUUAUUUUCAAUUAAAUCUUUUGGAGAUAAACAAAAGAAGGGCUAUAUAAGGCGGCGAUUAAUUUUUUGUUGUGAUUUUGCAAAGUAUGACAAAUAAUAAUAAUAAUAAUAAUAAUAAUAAUAAUAAUAAUAAUAAUAAUAAUAAUAAUAAUAAUANCGGGCAUUGCUUCUUUUAAGUUUGUCAUCUGGUCCAGAUCACCCUGAUGUCGCUGCCACUUUCAUAAAUGUCGCGAUGAUGUACCAAGAUAUUGGGAAGAUGGAUACGGCCCUUAGAUACUUGCAAGAAGCAUUGAAAAAGAAUGAGAGACUGUUAGGAGAGGAACAUAUUCAGACUGCAGUGUGUUACCAUGCUUUGGCAAUUGCUUUCAACUGUAUGGGAGCCUUUAAGCUAUCUCACCAGGUAUAUGCCGAUUGCGGAAUAUUGAUAUCUAUGUGAACUUAUGGUGUGUGGAAGUGUAACAUCCCUUAAUGUUAUUUGAUCUUUGAUAUAGGCAGCACGAAACAAAAACAAUAUGAUAUUCUUCUCAACAACUUGGUGAGGACGACUCUAGGACAAGGAUUCUCAGAACUGGAUGAAAACUUUCAAGAUGCGUGAACUGCAAGUAAUGCUCUAUUCAAGUUUAUUCAGGAAGUUGUUUGCUUUUACUUGUUUUUAUUUAUUAGUUAAAUGGAUAUUCUUACCUUCCAAGAGAGCAUAAAAUAUUGUUUGUAUUACAGUUGAAUGCACAAAAGCAAAAAGGACAGGCUUUGAAUCCAUCUUCUGCUCAGAAGGCUAUUGAUAUAAUUAAGGUAUUCACUAAAUCCAUUCUCCUGUUUUUUUAAUGCCUUUUUGUAUAUCUCAGUAUUCAUGUGCUUUACUUUCCACAAGGGUUAAGAAACAAGUGUGCAUUGUCAUUUUGUCAAGAGAAAACCUACUUCCAACCUCCCAGGGUGAUAUAAAAAUUCUUUAUUGUGAAUCUAACCGGUGCCUGAUCUUGCUUUCAAUUUUUUCUUGCAAUUAAACCUAGUGCUAUCUUCAAGUUCAAGUCGGAGAGAGUCAAUUCUCGCACAUAAAUGGAACUUCUAGUGUGAUCCUGUAAAUACUCUGCAUUUGGUAUAUUUAUGAUUUGCUGCGACCUUCGUUGCUAAUACAAACAUGUGUUGAGUUGUGCAAAAUAAACAUUUUGUAGAAAAUUUAGCGAGUGUGCUUAUUUUGGUGUAUAGUCAAUUUUCAGUAACACAGUUGAUACUUUAUAUGAAUGACAGGCCCACCCAGACCUGCUACAAGCAUUUCAAGCAGCUGCAGUAGCUGGGAGUUCUAGUAGUACUAGUCAUGUGGGGAAGAAAUCGUUAAAUGGUGCUGUGGUGGUGCUGCAAGAGGUUUGGAUGAAAGAGCGAGGAAAGAGCAGCAGCAAAGGCCCUUUUGGUACGCAGGCAUGGUGGUCCUGCACAGGCUUCACCGCCGACCUCUAACAUCAUAAACUCAGGGGGAGCCACUACCAACGGAUGUUGCUGUAAAUGAGGCCUCCGAUGGAGGGAAGAAGAAUCCGACACAAACCUCAAAUGGAGUGCUGGGUUCAGAAGGUCAUGAACCCAAGCCAGGUCAGCAAGAUCAGGCUCCGGUUGGAUUAGGCCCGGGCUUGGCUGCCUUGGAUGCCAAGAAGCUGAACCAAAAUCCAAAGCGAAAGCAACAACUGCCGAGUCUUCUACCUGAGCCUGACUACAUUUUGAUUCUUUUUGUUAGGUGUAGUUUUGGUCAGUCUGAAUACGUUUCACACCUGCAAUUGAGUUAUACAUUCUGCUUUGAUCCAUAAUUAGUUUAUGGAUACAUUCUGCUUUUGAAGCAUGAUAGUUUACAGAUGCACUAAACUCUUCCAAAGUUCUAUUAAUAAGUGUGCUAUGACAAUUUUGCAUUUAGAGAGUAUUUCUCUGCAAUUGUUAUUUUAUGAAAUUCUUCAUAAUUUUGAAGCCCUCAUUAUUAUGUUU
rnacentral:lncRNA from 1 species